GGCGCUCGUAAAGUACGGACUAUUGGGUUAUAAACAUAUUCAUGGAUGAAGUUGAAUCCAAUCAAAAACAUCACAGGAAGGUAGUCAUAACGACACAAAACAAAAGCAAGUAAACAAUCAGGAAAAGCGGAUCGAGAACAUUAAAUCCUAUUUGGCGCAUUUCUGCAUUCGGGCAAAAGUCAGCGCUGAGACGUGCCGAGACUGUAAUCAUCUUAGAAUUCCAAAUCCAGGACAGACAAACCGCACAGAUCAGGAGGAUGGGGUGUAACAACAGCAAAGGCGCAGCAACUAGCGGCCCAACAGAAGGCAGCGGGCAACAAGAGCAACCUCCCGCAACACAGACAUCAGAACCCGAACCAGCACAGACCACAGAGGCACCCGCAGAAUCUGAACAAACAGAACAAACAGCAGAAUAACAAUAGGAAUAAAUCCAUAGGUCAUUAUCAAUUAUGUAUCACUGGAGCAGUAAAACACAGGAAUCUUAUUGGCAAACUCUUAUUUUCUUAGACUCAUUUCUUUAUACUACUCAGAAGACACCGGAAUUGUAUCAUACCAGUGAAAAGCAUCAGACCCCUUCAAAGGGGGGGUAAUCCGUCCAGGACUUUAAUUAUUUUAUAUUGAGCAAUUUUUUCUUAUUCCUCUGUGAUACUUUUUUUCUUCAACCACAGUGAGUGUGGAUGAAUUUUCUGGGAGACUUAUUUAAAUUUUCUGUGAUGGAUGGUAGUUGUGGGAGAAUGUGUGAGUUGAAAUGCAUACAGUUUUAGGAAAUUGUGCAUUUAAUGUUACGCUGUGAUCUCUACCAGUAUUAAUAUAGGCCACACUGAUAUUUUACUAGCUGCAAAUAGGCCUUUAUAAUGUAUAGACAUGUUUAUGUUGUCGUGAUUAAAUUCUAUCUUUAAUUCAAAUACUAGUUAAGUAGCAGUGUAAUAAAAGGGGUUAUUAUUAUCAAUGGGAUUAUAUAUGUUUAACAGAUAAUAAAUUAUUAGACACAC